AGAGUUAAACAGUACGUGAAAUUGUUGAAAGGGAAACGAUUGAAGUCAGUCGUACCGAUGGGCACUCAACCUCUCGGGCGGGAUCGUGUCAGAUGUGGGAAGAUCUCACUUUGCCAUUGUUCCUACCUCUGGGGUGUAAUUGUCCGUAUGGUAGGUUAACAUCAAUUUUGGUCAUCAUAAAAUGACGGGGGGAAUGUAGCUUCCUUUGGAAGUGUUAUAGCCUCUGGUAGAUGUGAUGAACGGGAUUGAGGAUUGCAACGAAUACCCUUUGGGCUACCUGUCUGAUCUCUGAUCGUCGCCUUGGUGCUGAAAGCGUGCUUACGGUAUCAAUGUUUGAUGGUUACAAGGUUAGCACGGGUUACAUUCGUUAAGGAUGUUGACGUAAUGACUUUAAACGACC
rnacentral:rRNA from 1 species